UCCAGAUGAUGAAAAAUUUUGCCUGACAAUGAUGAGGGUAAAAAUGAUUUAAUGAGCCUGAUGG